AACGAACGCUGGCGGCGUACCUAACACAUGCAAGUCGAACGAGAAAUUCCGAUUCGUCGGGAGAGUAAAGUGGCGAACGGGUGAGUAACACUAGGGUAAUCUCCCCUUAAAUAAGGGAUAACAGUGCGAAAGCGCUGCUAAUACCUUAUAAGACUACAGUCUCUUAGGAGACUGCAGGAAAAGAUGGCCUCUGAUUCAAGCUAUCGUUUAAGGAUGAGCCCUAGCACUAUUAGCUAGUUGGUGAGGUAACGGCUCACCAAGGCGACGAUGGUUAGCUGGUCUGAGAGGAUGAUCAGCCAAACUGGAAUUGAGACACGGUCCAGACUCCUACGGGAGGCAGCAGUGAGGAAUAUUGCGCAAUGGGGGAAACCCUGACGCAGUGACGCCGCGUGAGUGAUGAAGGCUUUCGAGUUGUAAAGCUCUGUUAGGUGGAAAGAAACACUUCAGCGCUAAUACCGCUGAGGCUUGACGGUACCACCAGAGGAAGCACCGGCUAACUCCGUGCCAGCAGCCGCGGUAAGAC
rnacentral:rRNA from 1 species